AGCGAACGUUAGCGGCGGGCCUAACACAUGCAAGUCGAACGCGAAAGGUCUUCGGACUGAGUAGAGUGGCGCACGGGUGAGUAACACGUAGGUAAUCUACCCUUUGGCGGGGGAUAACGUUCCGAAAGGAGCGCUAAUACCGCAUAAGACCACGUGGUCUCCGGACCGAGUGGGAAAAGGUGGCCUCUUCUUGAAAGCUACCACCGAAGGAUGAGCCUGCGUCCCAUCAGCUAGUUGGUAAGGUAAUGGCUUACCAAGGCAAAGACGGGUAGCUGGUUUGAGAGAAUGAUCAGCCACACUGGCACUGGAACACGGGCCAGACUCCUACGGGAGGCAGCAGUGAGGAAUAUUGGGCAAUGGGCGAAAGCCUGACCCAGCCACGCCGCGUGAGUGAUGAAGGCCCUCGGGUCGUAAAGCUCUGUGGAGAGGGACGAAAACCCUGGUUUCAAAUAGGCUCCAGGCUUGACGGUACCUCUUUAGCAAGCACCGGCUAACUCUGUGCCAGCAGCCG
rnacentral:rRNA from 1 species